rnacentral:sRNA from 1 species
UACAGACAAUGACCGCGACGGGAAGAUAGACGAGGAUACCAACAAGUACAAAGCGGAACUCCACUACGGGCAAUGGUCAGACUGGGCUUGUAGUAGAGACUGCUAUGACACUAAAUUGUACAGAUACAGAGCGUGUAGAAGUAACAAUGUCAAAGUAACCUGUCAAGGUAACUCCAACGAGACCAAACCAAGUGAAUGUUACUUCAAUGAGAA